AGAGUUUGAUCCUGGCUCAGGACGAACGCUGGCGGCGUGCUUAAUACAUGCAAGUCGAACGAGGUUCAGCCGGUGGUAACACUGGCGAAGACCUAGUGGCGAACGGGUGCGUAACACGUGAGCAACCUGCCCCGAAGACCGGGAUAACAGUGGGAAACCGCUGCUAAUACCGGAUGUCCCCACGAAUCCGCAUGGAUAUGUGAGGAAAUGGAUUCCGCUUCGGGAGGGGCUCGCGGCCUAUCAGCUUGUUGGUGAGGUAACGGCUCACCAAGGCGUCGACGGGUAGCUGGUCUGAGAGGACGAUCAGCCACACUGGGACUGAGACGCGGCCCAGACUCCUACGGGAGGCAGCAGUAGGGAAUCUUGCGCAAUGGGCGAAAGCCUGACGCAGCAACGCCGCGUGGGGGAUGAAGGCCUUCGGGUUGUAAACUCCUUUUAGUGGGAACGAAAUUGACGGUACCCACAGAAAAAGCCCCGGCUAACUACGUGCCAGCAGCCGCGGUGAUACGUAGGGGGCGAGCGUUGUCCGGAUUUACUGGGCGUAAAGAGCUCGUAGGCGGUUUAGUAAGUCGGGUGUGAAACCUCUAGGCUUAACCUAGAGACGCCACUCGAAACUACUAUGACUAGAGUCUGGUAGGGGACCAUGGAAUUCCUGGUGUAGCGGUGAAAUGCGCAGAUAUCAGGAGGAACACCAGUAGCGAAGGCGGUGGUCUGGGCCAGUACUGACGCUGAGGAGCGAAAGCGUGGGGAGCGAACAGGAUUAGAUACCCCCGUAGUCC
rnacentral:rRNA from 1 species